rnacentral:tRNA from 1 species
GUAGCUUAGUGGUAGAGCAUUUGCCUAACAUGCAUAAGGUCCUGGGUUCAAAAUCUAGC